rnacentral:rRNA from 1 species
AAUUCACUAGUGAUUACUCCUACGGGAGGCAGCAGUGGGGAAUUUUGGACAAUGGGGGCAACCCUGAUCCAGCAAUGCCGCGUGUGUGAAGAAGGCCUUCGGGUUGUAAAGCACUUUUGUCCGGAAAGAAAUCCCUUGCCCUAAUACGGCGGGGGGAUGACGGUACUGGAAGAAUAAGCACCGGCUAACUACGUGCCAGCAGCCGCGGUAAUACGUAGGGUGCAAGCGUUAAUCGGAAUUACUGGGCGUAAAGCGUGCGCAGGCGGUUCGCUAAGACAGAUGUGAAAUCCCCGGGCUUAACCUGGGAACUGCAUUUGUGACUGGCGGGCUAGAGUAUGGCAGAGGGGGGUAGAAUUCCACGUGUAGCAGUGAAAUGCGUAGAGAUGUGGAGGAAUACCGAUGGCGAAGGCAGCCCCCUGGGCCAAUACUGACGCUCAUGCACGAAAGCGUGGGGAGCAAACAGGAUUAGAUACCCUGGUAGUCCACGCCCUAAACAAUGUCAACUAGUUGUCGGGUCUUCAUUGACUUGGUAACGUAGCUAACGCGUGAAGUUGACCGCCUGGGGAGUACGGUCGCAAGAUUAAAACUCAAAGGAAUUGACGGGGACCCGCACAAGCGGUGGAGCAUGUGGA